rnacentral:lncRNA from 1 species
UUUAUUUCAUAACCAUCACAGAGUAAUUAAAGAGCAUUAAGAUCAAAAUACCAAUGGAGAGGUAACGGUAAUGCAAUGUCUUCAAAAGACAACAAAUAACUUAUCAUAUCAGCAUCUGCCAUUUUACUUUUAUUUGUAAAAAGAUAUCAAUAUUAUUUAUUAUUGAAACAUUAUAAAAUAUCUGUGUACAUAUUUUGAUAUUCCAAUUCCUUGUGCUACACACUGUUGGUAAUAACUUCUGUAACUUUUGUACACUUUUUUAUCUCUUUUGAGCAUAUUUUAUAGCUGGUUGGAAAAAAAAAAAGCACACAACUGCUUCAAACAUGUCUUAAACACAGGCUAGUCUUUAAACCAUUUAACCAAAGCUUCACUAAUACUGCCAUUCAUACUGCUUCAAAUCUAGAAUUCUACAUUGUAAAAAGAAAUGCAAUGAUCCUAAAUUAUUCACUGGCAGAUCAGAUUGGAAGACAAUGCAUAUGGACUAUGUUUAAAAAAAAAAAAAAAGACACUAAAUGUAUGUUGCAGUGAAAUCAGUGCAAGGAUUCUCAUUAAAAAAAUCAUUACUAUUCUCUUUCCCAUGCAAAGAUUCUGUUCAGAGCAACUCCUGCUACAAGGCACAAAUGUAGUUAGGAUCUAUCUCUUUGUGUGUGUAAACUUAUAAAUGUAUAUAGGUCUGCUAUAUAUUGUCUCCUAAGUAGAGAAACAUGUAUACAAAUACAGUUCAUCGUAUCCUCUGCACUAAAGCAAAAAUUGAAGUGCAGUACCAAGAAAAAGUAAUAUAAACAAACCUAGAACAUAUCUUACACAUUCUCUCUGCUCAUUGAAUACAAUACGCAUUUAUUGCAUUACAAGGAUAUUAGUUCAUAACCAUCGUAAAAUGCUCAUCUCGUCAUCACCCAGCUUGAUACUACAGCUCAAUAUAUUUGAACAGCUUACAGCACACACCAAGCAGGCAAAAAAAAAAAAAAAAAAA